rnacentral:rRNA from 1 species
CUACGGGUCGCUGCAGUGAGGAAUAUUGCACAAUGGGGGGAACCCUGAUGCAGCAACGCCGCGUGGAGGAUGACGCAUUUCGGUGUGUAAACUCCUUUUAUAUGUCAAGAAAAUGACGGUAGCAUAUGAAUAAGCACCGGCUAACUCCGUGCCAGCAGCCGCGGUAAUACGGAGGGUGCAAGCGUUACUCGGAAUCACUGGGCGUGAAGGACGCGUAGGCGGGUUGGAAAGUCAGGUGUGAAAUCCUACAGCUUAACUGUAGAACUGCACUUGAAACUUCUAAUCUAGAGUAUGGGAGGGGGAGAUGGAAUUAGUGGUGUAGGGGUAAAAUCGGUAGAUAUCACUAGGAAUACCUAAAGCGAAGGCGAUCUCCUGGAACAUUACUGACGCUAAGGCGUGAAAGCGUGGGGAGCAAACAGGAUUAGAUACCCGCGUAGUC